UUAGAGUUUGGGAUCUGGCUCAGAACGAACGCUGGCGGCAGGCUUAACACAUGCAAGUCGAACGCCCCGCAAGGGGAGUGGCAGACGGGUGAGUAACGCGUGGGAACAUACCCUUUCCUGCGGAAUAGCUCCGGGAAACUGGAAUUAAUACCGCAUACGCCCUACGGGGGAAAGAUUUAUCGGGGAAGGAUUGGCCCGCGUUGGAUUAGCUAGUUGGUGGGGUAAAGGCCUACCAAGGCGACGAUCCAUAGCUGGUCUGAGAGGAUGAUCAGCCACAUUGGGACUGAGACACGGCCCAAACUCCUACGGGAGGCAGCAGUGGGGAAUAUUGGACAAUGGGCGCAAGCCUGAUCCAGCCAUGCCGCGUGAGUGAUGAAGGCCUUAGGGUUGUAAAGCUCUUUCACCGGAGAAGAUAAUGACGGUAUCCGGAGAAGAAGCCCCGGCU
rnacentral:rRNA from 1 species